UGUUGAAACACCGGUUCCCGUGCGAUCACCAAAGUUAAGCAACGUCGAACCUGGUCAAUACCUAGAUGGCUGACAACUUGGGAAUACAAGGUGCUGUAAG